rnacentral:rRNA from 1 species
AUCGACAGGCUUAACACAUGCAAGUCGAGGGGCAGCACAGGUAGCAAUACCGGGUGGCGACCGGCGCACGGGUGAGUAACGCGUAUGCAACUUACCUAUCAGAGGGGGAUAACCCGGCGAAAGUCGGACUAAUACCGCAUGAAGCAGGGGCCCCGCAUGGGGAUAUUUGCUAAAGAUUCAUCGCUGAUAGAUAGGCAUGCGUUCCAUUAGGCAGUUGGCGGGGUAACGGCCCACCAAACCGACGAUGGAUAGGGGUUCUGAGAGGAAGGUCCCCCACAUUGGUACUGAGACACGGACCAAACUCCUACGGGAGGCAGCAGUGAGGAAUAUUGGUCAAUGGCCGAGAGGCUGAACCAGCCAAGUCGCGUGAGGGAUGAAGGUUCUAUGGAUCGUAAACCUCUUUUAUAAGGGAAUAAAGUGCGGGACGUGUCCCGUUUUGUAUGUACCUUAUGAAUAAGGAUCGGCUAACUCCGUGCCAGCAGCCGCGGUAAUACGGAGGAUCCGAGCGUUAUCCGGAUUUAUUGGGUUUAAAGGGUGCGUAGGCGGCCUUUUAAGUCAGCGGUGAAAGUCUGUGGCUCAACCAUAGAAUUGCCGUUGAAACUGGGGGGCUUGAGUAUGUUUGAGGCAGGCGGAAUGCGUGGUGUAGCGGUGAAAUGCAUAGAUAUCACGCAGAACCCCGAUUGCGAAGGCAGCCUGCCAAGCCAUUACUGACGCUGAUGCACGAAAGCGUGGGGAUCAAACAGGAUUAGAUACCCUGGUAGUCCACGCAGUAAACGAUGAUCACUAGCUGUUUGCGAUACACUGUAAGCGGCACAGCGAAAGCGUUAAGUGAUCCACCUGGGGAGUACGCCGGCAACGGUGAAACUCAAAGGAAUUGACGGGGGCCCGCACAAGCGGAGGAACAUGUGGUUUAAUUCGAUGAUACGCGAGGAACCUUACCCGGGUUUGAACGCAUUCGGACCGAGGUGGAAACACCUUUUCUAGCAAUAGCCGUUUGCGAGGUGCUGCAUGGUUGUCGUCAGCUCGUGCCGUGAGGUGUCGGCUUAAGUGCCAUAACGAGCGCAACCCUUGCCACUAGUUACUAACAGGUGAUGCUGAGGACUCUGGUGGGACUGCCAGCGUAAGCUGCGAGGAAGGCGGGGAUGACGUCAAAUCAGCACGGCCCUUACAUCCGGGGCGACACACGUGUUACAAUGGCGUGGACAAAGGGAGGCCACCUGGCGACAGGGAGCGAAUCCCCAAACCACGUCUCAGUUCGGAUCGGAGUCUGCAACCCGACUCCGUGAAGCUGGAUUCGCUAGUAAUCGCGCAUCAGCCAUGGCGCGGUGAAUACGUUCCCGGGCCUUGUACACACCGCCCGUCAAGCCAUGGGAGCCGGGGGUACCUGAAGUCCGUAACCGAAAGGAUCGGCCUAGGGUAAAACUGGUGACUG